rnacentral:lncRNA from 1 species
UUUUAUCAUUUUUUUUGUUUUGCGCUCUUUUUAUCACUUUUAUUCCUUGCUUUUAAAGGUUUGAGUUUUGGACUUUUGGAGGAAGAGAUGGCUUAUAGAGAGAGAGAGCACAAGGGACAUGGCCUUCGGUUGUUACAAACUUCGGCCGAUCCCUGAGCAGCGGCGGAAGGUUACAACAACAAUUAGGGGCGGCGAACUUACGGUGGUUUGUUAGGACUUCGUCUGAUUCCAUCAUUGAAGGCGACAGAGACAAAGCGAUCUUCACCUCCUAAUUUCCGAUUUAGGGUUUAUCAAUGAUUGAAGAAUUCCUUUUGUCCUCUGGUUGCUGAAAACCAAAACCCUCAAUCGACCGCUAAUGCUCUCAUCCCUCAACGUCAAGGUGGCUGGGAUUGUUUGAAGAUUGUCUAAAGUCCAUUACUUUAUUUCUGAGGUUAGAUUCUAAACAGGUCUUCGUCUUUUACCAAACACGUCCUCACACACAAAGUUUCUAGUAGCACCAUACCAAAAGAAAUACAUCUGAUUCUUUCGUCACUAUGCCGGUUUUCAUGUAUUCCGGAUCAACAUAGCCUGGUGUGCUAUAGGAAAUGGAGAUAGCAGCAUUUUUAUCUAGA